UUUUUUUUUCAGGGUGUAGGAGCGUGUUCUCUACUGGAGCGGAUGUUUGCUGCACUGGAUUUUGGUUUCUCUUCUUUUCCCAGACUAUUGGCCAAUCUCUUUGGAGGUUGUCCCUCUCCAAGGGUGGUUCAAUGAGGUGGCUCUAUUUUCCUGGUAUGUUGUUUUUUCACGGGUUUAUUGUCAUUUUUCUAUAUACCAAUGAAUCAAUUGAUGCAUUGAUUUCAGAUUUCACGUUUUUUGACCCCUUACAACUUAUGUUUUUUUGGUUCAGGUUUGUUUUUAUUUUUGUUUCACCCUCUGCGCUUCAUUUUUUGGUUUUGGGUUUGCUCCUGCCCCGUUUUAGCCUGUUUAAUGAUUCUUGCUUAACAAGGUUGUGAUUUGCUUGGUAUGUUGCUGUUGUUUUUUGCGUGGUGGUGUAGAUCAACACCAGCCUAUAUUUAUCUCUAUCUUAGCAUCUGAAAUGCCUUUCUAACACUUUUUUCUAGUUUUUCAUAACUAGAACAUUACAUCUUGGAUGCUGAUAUUGAGUUGGCUCAUGUAUAAUGACGGGUUCAACUCUGUAUCUUUUAGGCUUUCGACAUGUUAAUAUAGACUGAUGCAUUGUUUCA